AGUCGAGCGGGGUUUUCGGACCUAGCGGCGGGCGGGUGAGUAAUGCCUAGGAAGCUACCCCAUAGAGGGGGAUACCAGUUGGAAACCACUGUUAAUACCGCAUAAUGUCUACCGACCAAAGUGUGGGACCUUCGGGCCACAUGCUAUCGGAUGCGCCUACCUGGGAUUAGCUAGUUGGUGGGGUAGUGGCUCACCAAGGCGACGAUCCCUAGCUGGUUUGAGAGGAUGAUCAGCCACACUGGAACUGAGACACGGUCCAGACUCCUACGGGAGGCAGCAGCGGGGAAUAUUGGACAAUGGGCGCAAGCCUGAUCCAGCCAUGCCGCGUGUGUGAAGAAGGCCUUCGGGUUGUAAAGCACUUUCAGCGAGGAGGAAGGGUUAGUAGUUAAUAGCUGCUAAUUUUGACGUUACUCGCAGAAGAAGCACCGGCUAACUCUGUGCCAGCAGCCGCGGUAAUACAGAGGGUGCAAGCGUUAAUCGGAAUUACUGGGCGUAAAGCGCACGUAGGCGGUUUUUUAAGUCAGAUGUGAAAGCCCCGGGCUCAACCUGGGAAUUGCAUUUGAAACUGGAAAACUAGAGUGUGUGAGAGGGGGGUAGAAUUCCAAGUGUAGCGGUGAAAUGCGUAGAGAUUUGGAGGAAUACCAGUGGCGAAGGCGGCCCCCUGGCACAACACUGACGCUCAGGUGCGAAAGCGUGGGGAGCAAGCAGGAUUAGAUACCCUGGUAGUCCACGCCGUAAACGAUGUCUACUAGCUGUUCGUGGUCUUGCACCGUGAGUAGCGCAGCUAACGCAUUAAGUAGACCGCCUGGGGAGUACGGUCGCAAGAU
rnacentral:rRNA from 1 species